CGUGAGGGCAUGUCUGCGCAACA
rnacentral:siRNA from 1 species